GAUACGAACGAGGACGCGUCAGUAGCGUGUCAGCGAUAUCGUUCAGCUUUAAUAACAAUCGGAGAGAGUGCGUCUGCAAAGUCCCGUUCGAGCCGAUUGAUUUACAGUUACGUCAGUUGGUUUUCUCGAAGACGACGCGAUUUUGAAUGCGAUCAGCUGUAUCCCGCGUUACCAUGGAAAUCCACAAGAACCGCUGUGGUCUUCGGCAGCAGACCUUCAGAUAAACAACCGUGGUGCCGAUACUUUGCCAACAUGACUGAAGAGAAACGAUUGUCGUUGGGCAUCAACGUUAGCAUCCUGUUGAUACUGAUGAUAUUCGGGGUGCUUCUGUCUUUGCCGUUGCGAUUGUUGUUCAACACGAGCUACUCCAAUCAGAACGGAGAUGACAGUGUCGCCGAUCCGGCUAAGAGAGAGUCCGUGAUACCGAUGGAUCAUCGGAAAUUGAAACGCUGUCCAAACUUGGAGUACGAGGAUCGCCUGAUGUCCGUCUUUCUGGAUGAUUACGAUGAAAAUUGCACAUACGUGCAGGACGAUGAGGAUGACGACGAUGACAACGACGACGAUAACGACGAUGACGACGACGACGAUGAUGAUGAUGAUUCUGAAGAGGAGAAGGAUAGUAGGCAGAAUAAGGAGAAGACCGGUAGAUCCAAGAGAAAGAGAAAGAACAUCGACGAAGAAAACGUUGAAGAGAUCUUGAAAUCGCGUCAGAUGAAGUCCACCAUUGUGGCAGGCCACAUACUCGUGGCGAUGUUGCUUGUAUCAGUAAUAGCUGCUCUCGUGGAAGUACUACGAAUACGCUUCGCCAGAGAAAAAGAUUCGUCUAGGGCAGGAACGUUUGCGUCCCGGAGAAGCUCCUCCAGCGUGGACAUCCGCGUCACAAGGCGUCUCAUUUCAAGAGAAUUAAUUAGGAGCCAAAGAUCCUUUGACAUACCAACAAUGCACCAAUCCACAUUGCGUCUGUUAGGAGCGCGGCCGCCCCCACUCAUCCGCCGCUCCUCAUUUCCAACGCCACAAGCGAAACAAGUCGCUACUUCGUCCGUUUGUGGCACGCCGAUCAACCGGUCGUCGCGACGUCAAUCCUCUGAAUCGGAUGAAGAAACCGUAAUCGUCGCCUAUGCUCUUCAUCAUCGCAUCCGUCUAAUCCGACGCCACUAAGGCGACACGAGAAUAGUGACAUCCCGAUUCACUGAUUUCUUUGCAACUGCUGGCGAUAUUAACAGGAUACGCAUCUGCAACUGCAUGGCCAUACGCAACGCACAAUAAUCACGUUCAUUGUCCUUUUUUAUCCUCACCAUGCAACGUCAAAAGGUUUUUCACUACAGAAUCCACAGCUUCCAAUGCAUCCUUUACGGCGGCUUCAAUAGUGCUCCAUCUCUGCGACGCUUUUAUAUCACGCUACGGAUUAAGUUCUGCUUUCUAUCCAAGCAAUACUCGAAAUGCCGAAUACUUAAUAUGCAGAAUCAAAUUUCGGAAUCAAAAGUUAGGUGGAAAGCUGAAUUAACCACAAAUGUUAAGACUAAUAUUUAACAGAAUAAUUGUUAUUUUCCACAUUAAUAAAUAUACAAAUUAAUAAUU